rfam:Schizophyllum commune H4-8 unplaced genomic scaffold SCHCOscaffold_3, whole genome shotgun sequence.
GCCCGGCUAGCUCAAUCGGCUAGAGCGUCAGACUUUUACGACCUUAGUUUAAUCUGAAGGCUGCGGGUUCGACCCCCGCGUUGGGCU